GGGUACUUAGCUCAGUUGGUUCAGAGCGCUGCCCUUACAAGGCAGAAGUCACAGGUUCAAAUCCUGUAGUACCCA
rnacentral:tRNA from 1 species